rnacentral:tRNA from 1 species
AGUUAAUUAGCUUAAAUCUUAAAGCUUAUGUCUUGAAAUCAUAAUAAAGAAGUUUAAAUCUUCUAUUAACUU